CUCGCAAAGAAAAAUGCACUAACCCAGCAGAUCUGCUCUGGGUUUGCAUGUGAGCAAGGACCAGGCUAAUCACCGGGAUGCAGUUUGAUGCUGGCGACGGCGGCUACUGUGACCCCAACACCCCGAGCUCACGGAUUGGGCACCGGUGCACUGGCAGCUGCCGGAUGAUGACUCUGGCUGGUUUUAUGUCAACUUGACACAAGCUGGAGAAGACAUCAGAGAGGAGGGAACCUCAGGCUGCCUUGGUCAUGACGUCUCUUCACAGCAAUAGGGCAGUGAUGAAGAAGCCAAACAUACAGACCUGGUUGUAUGCUGGGAAUGGAGCCAGGCAGAUGAAUGCUGGAUAGAGCUCCACCUGCCUCUGCCUUCCAAGUGCUGGGAUUAAAGACACAUACCACUUCGCAGCAUCCUCCUUGUUCUUGACGCAGAAUCAGCGUUAUGGCUCAAUGAGUCGGAUGUAUGAUCUUCAAGGUUUUCCACACAGUUCCCUGUUGGACUGGCCAGCGCCUAGCUGAAGACACUCUGGCUGCUUUUACUCCACACAAAACUUCCUUUCGAACCUUGGAAUUGCUAAAGAAGAAACAAGGAUGUCCUAUUGCAAGAAAUAUUAAAUAUGAGUCUUUUUUUUCUUUUAGAUUUCUUUGAUGAGAAUUAGAAACAAGAGAGUUUUACAUGACAAUCCCAGUUCCAUUCUCUCUCUCCUCCUCCCGUACCCCGCCACCCACUAAAUCUUACCAAUCAAAUAUCCUUU
rnacentral:lncRNA from 1 species